rnacentral:rRNA from 1 species
UACGAAGGUGGCAAGCGUUGUUCGGAUUUACUGGGCGUAAAGGGAGCGUAGGUGGUCGGGUAAGCCCCGCGGGAAAGCUCCAGGCUUAACCUGGAAAGGUCGCGGGGGACUGCGCGGCUAGAGGACGGGAGAGGAGCGCGGAAUUCCCGGUGUAGCGGUGAAAUGCGUAGAGAUCGGGAGGAAGGCCGGUGGCGAAGGCGGAUCUCUGGGCCUGAUCUGACGCUGAGGCGCGAAAGCUAGGGGAGCGAACAGG